GGGUUGUGAGGUUAAGCGACUAAGCGUACACGGUGGAUGCCCUGGCAGUCAGAGGCGAUGAAGGACGUGCUAAUCUGCGAUAAGCGUCGGUAAGGUGAUAUGAACCGUUAUAACCGGCGAUUUCCGAAUGGGGAAACCCAGUGUGUUUCGACACACUAUCAUUAACUGAAUCCAUAGGUUAAUGAGGCGAACCGGGGGAACUGAAACAUCUAAGUACCCCGAGGAAAAGAAAUCAACCGAGAUUCCCCCAGUAGCGGCGAGCGAACGGGGAGCAGCCCAGAGCCUGAAUCAGUGUGUGUGUUAGUGGAAGCGUCUGGAAAGGCGCGCGAUACAGGGUGACAGCCCCGUACACAAAAAUACACAUACUGUGAGCUCGAUGAGUAGGGCGGGACACGUGGUAUCCUGUCUGAAUAUGGGGGGACCAUCCUCCAAGGCUAAAUACUCCUGACUGACCGAUAGUGAACCAGUACCGUGAGGGAAAGGCGAAAAGAACCCCGGCGAGGGGAGUGAAAAAGAACCUGAAACCGUGUACGUACAAGCAGUGGGAGCACGCUUAGGCGUGUGACUGCGUACCUUUUGUAUAAUGGGUCAGCGACUUAUAUUCUGUAGCAAGGUUAACCGAAUAGGGGAGCCGAAGGGAAACCGAGUCUUAACUGGGCGUUAAGUUGCAGGGUAUAGACCCGAAACCCGGUGAUCUAGCCAUGGGCAGGUUGAAGGUUGGGUAACACUAACUGGAGGACCGAACCGACUAAUGUUGAAAAAUUAGCGGAUGACUUGUGGCUGGGGGUGAAAGGCCAAUCAAACCGGGAGAUAGCUGGUUCUCCCCGAAAGCUAUUUAGGUAGCGCCUCGUGAAUUCAUCUCCGGGGGUAGAGCACUGUUUCGGCAAGGGGGUCAUCCCGACUUACCAACCCGAUGCAAACUGCGAAUACCGGAGAAUGUUAUCACGGGAGACACACGGCGGGUGCUAACGUCCGUCGUGAAGAGGGAAACAACCCAGACCGCCAGCUAAGGUCCCAAAGUCAUGGUUAAGUGGGAAACGAUGUGGGAAGGCCCAGACAGCCAGGAUGUUGGCUUAGAAGCAGCCAUCAUUUAAAGAAAGCGUAAUAGCUCACUGGUCGAGUCGGCCUGCGCGGAAGAUGUAACGGGGCUAAACCAUGCACCGAAGCUGCGGCAGCGACGCUGAUGCGUUGUUGGGUAGGGGAGCGUUCUGUAAGCCUGCGAAGGUGUGCUGUGAGGCAUGCUGGAGGUAUCAGAAGUGCGAAUGCUGACAUAAGUAACGAUAAAGCGGGUGAAAAGCCCGCUCGCCGGAAGACCAAGGGUUCCUGUCCAACGUUAAUCGGGGCAGGGUGAGUCGACCCCUAAGGCGAGGCCGAAAGGCGUAGUCGAUGGGAAACAGGUUAAUAUUCCUGUACUUGGUGUUACUGCGAAGGGGGGACGGAGAAGGCUAUGUUGGCCGGGCGACGGUUGUCCCGGUUUAAGCGUGUAGGCUGGUUUUCCAGGCAAAUCCGGAAAAUCAAGGCUGAGGCGUGAUGACGAGGCACUACGGUGCUGAAGCAACAAAUGCCCUGCUUCCAGGAAAAGCCUCUAAGCAUCAGGUAACAUCAAAUCGUACCCCAAACCGACACAGGUGGUCAGGUAGAGAAUACCAAGGCGCUUGAGAGAACUCGGGUGAAGGAACUAGGCAAAAUGGUGCCGUAACUUCGGGAGAAGGCACGCUGAUAUGUAGGUGAAGUCCCUCGCGGAUGGAGCUGAAAUCAGUCGAAGAUACCAGCUGGCUGCAACUGUUUAUUAAAAACACAGCACUGUGCAAACACGAAAGUGGACGUAUACGGUGUGACGCCUGCCCGGUGCCGGAAGGUUAAUUGAUGGGGUUAGCGCAAGCGAAGCUCUUGAUCGAAGCCCCGGUAAACGGCGGCCGUAACUAUAACGGUCCUAAGGUAGCGAAAUUCCUUGUCGGGUAAGUUCCGACCUGCACGAAUGGCGUAAUGAUGGCCAGGCUGUCUCCACCCGAGACUCAGUGAAAUUGAACUCGCUGUGAAGAUGCAGUGUACCCGCGGCAAGACGGAAAGACCCCGUGAACCUUUACUAUAGCUUGACACUGAACAUUGAGCCUUGAUGUGUAGGAUAGGUGGGAGGCUUUGAAGUGUGGACGCCAGUCUGCAUGGAGCCGACCUUGAAAUACCACCCUUUAAUGUUUGAUGUUCUAACGUUGACCCGUAAUCCGGGUUGCGGACAGUGUCUGGUGGGUAGUUUGACUGGGGCGGUCUCCUCCUAAAGAGUAACGGAGGAGCACGAAGGUUGGCUAAUCCUGGUCGGACAUCAGGAGGUUAGUGCAAUGGCAUAAGCCAGCUUGACUGCGAGCGUGACGGCGCGAGCAGGUGCGAAAGCAGGUCAUAGUGAUCCGGUGGUUCUGAAUGGAAGGGCCAUCGCUCAACGGAUAAAAGGUACUCCGGGGAUAACAGGCUGAUACCGCCCAAGAGUUCAUAUCGACGGCGGUGUUUGGCACCUCGAUGUCGGCUCAUCACAUCCUGGGGCUGAAGUAGGUCCCAAGGGUAUGGCUGUUCGCCAUUUAAAGUGGUACGCGAGCUGGGUUUAGAACGUCGUGAGACAGUUCGGUCCCUAUCUGCCGUGGGCGCUGGAGAACUGAGGGGGGCUGCUCCUAGUACGAGAGGACCGGAGUGGACGCAUCACUGGUGUUCGGGUUGUCAUGCCAAUGGCACUGCCCGGUAGCUAAAUGCGGAAGAGAUAAGUGCUGAAAGCAUCUAAGCACGAAACUUGCCCCGAGAUGAGUUCUCCCUGACUCCUUGAGAGUCCUGAAGGAACGUUGAAGACGACGACGUUGAUAGGCCGGGUGUGUAAGCGCAGCGAUGCGUUGAGCUAACCGGUACUAAUGAACCGUGAGGCUUAACCUUACAACGCCGAAGCUGUU
rnacentral:rRNA from 1 species